rnacentral:tRNA from 1 species
GGCCGGUUAGCUCAGUUGGUUAGAGCGUGGUGCUAAUAACGCCAAGGUCGCGAGUUCGAACCCCAUACGGGCCG